CCUACGGGUGGCUGCAGUGGGGAAUAUUGGGCAAUGGGCGCAAGCCUGACCCAGCAACGCCGCGUGAAGGAAGAAGGCCCUCGGGUUGUAAACUUCUUUUGUCAGGGACGAAGCAAGUGACGGUACCUGACGAAUAAGCCACGGCUAACUACGUGCCAGCAGCCGCGGUAAUACGUAGGUGGCAAGCGUUAUCCGGAUUUACUGGGUGGAAAGGGCGUGUAGGCGGGGAAGUAAGUCAGAUGGGAAAUUCCAGGGCUCAACCCUGGAACUGCAUUUGAAACUGUUUAUCUUGAGUGAUGGAGAGGCAGGCGGAAUGCCGUGUGUAGCGGUGAAAUGCGUAGAUAUACGGAGGAACACCAGUGGCGAAGGCGGCCUGCUGGACAUUAACUGACGCUGAGGCGCGAAAGCGUGGGGAGCAAACAGGAUUAGAUACCCGGGUAGUC
rnacentral:rRNA from 1 species